rnacentral:lncRNA from 1 species
ACCUUUGCAAGAGGGUCCAAGACAUUUGCAUCAUCGUUCAGCGAGAGCUGUAAACACAGCAUCUGCCUUUGACCACAUCCAUCUGGAAGAACCUGAGAGAUAAUCCAUUUUAUGAAAUUUUCCCUACCCUGAAAUGGGAGAAGGGAACCAAGUUCUGGAGAAGCUCCUGGGCUGCUAGAACUGGGUGCUGGAGAAACCAGGUGUGCUGAAGGAAGUUGAUGAAACAAACACACCGGAAUCAGAAAGAGAAUCCCCUUCUUCCUGCAGUAUUCCACCAGUGCCUUCUACUGACAAAGCUUCACAUUAUGUCAGCUGACUUAGGAGAAAUAUUUGCAGGGUCCAGCUGCAUUAUCCACGGAAUAGGGAAUGAAGGAUGGAGUUGGAGCUGAAAGAAAAUAAGCUGACAACUGGCACAGUAAAGUAUUUGGCUCCACAGUCUCUACGUACACCCUUCUAUACAUAUUUACGCUUCUGUGCAACAAUGAAACAACUCUGUAUUUCACCUAAAAAGAUACAGCUGUCUUAAAAUGUAAAGAAGUCCUCAGCUUUGCUUUACAAUGAGGAGAUGCACAGUCUCAGUUGUCAUUAUUUCCAUCAUUGGCUAUAUAUUAAAUAUUUCUAAAAUCCUGUCACAGUCUCUGUUACCUAAAAAUAAAUUUGUAAAAUUAAUCCCCAAGAACUUAUAUGUAAAAUAAAAAUGAGAAGAAGAAAAUGGUUAGUAGCUUAUAUGAGGGGUCUUCAAAAAGUUCACAGAAAAUGUGUAUUUUAUAUAUAUAGAUAGAUAGAUGUGUGGAUUUCAAACAUUUUUGGCACAAAAGUGAACUCGUACUAACUUGUUAUAACAUGCCUGAACAGAAUCUAAUUUGAAGCACUAAGAAGGAUAAGGCAUCCAUUUGAAAAGGACUCCUAUAUUGCAACAUGAAUUCUGCUAAAAUUGAAGCAAGAACAAACACCAAAUUUAUGAUGAAGUUUGGAUAGAAGAAUGAUGAAAUUAUUGACACUUUAUAAAAAGUUUAUUGGGACAAUACCCCAAAUGAAUCAGCAGUUUAAAAAUGGAUA